GUGAGUCAAGCAUUACUUUUCCCUUUUGAGCUGGGAGGAGCAGCUUCUGUAUCUGUCCUUCCCAGAAAAAUCCACAAAGCGUCCUUAAGCCCCAGAGGUUUUCUCUGUCUGGUCAGAGACCUGAGACAGAUGAUUACCAUGGUCUUGUUGGUACUUUGUUUUUCCAUUAGGAGAAAAAAAACACCCCUGCAUCAGCAUGGCAGCUGGCACUGAACUAGCUUCCAUUAAUGUUCAGCUGAUUGAUGUAGCAAGAUCCCUGAAACGUUCCUGGUCAUCGAAGAAUACCACGUGAAGUUCCACAUGCAGACUCUCUAGGUCCUCUGACUGCUAGAUUUCAACCUCACUCAUUCAGAUCCUGAAGCCCAGAAUGUGCAGAACCGGAGUUACACAGCUGCCCACAGCAGCAAGAUGCUGGCCUCCUAGGUGGAUAUGCUAUUUUCUACUUGUUAGGCAGGCAAUAUACAUGAAGAUGUUGCUGAAGAUUCAGGAUUUGUCACUAAGAGCAGGGACAGUGCCUUCAGGAGCCGUGGCUUUCACAUCCUCCUCUGUGUUGAGAAGAAGACUUUAUUGAAGAGGGAACACAAAUGGAGAUUCACUUGGGACCAGCUGAGAUCUUCAGUUCUAAAAGGAUUUGAGGCUGGAAUGAUUUAAGCACAGACCCACAGUAAGAGAUGUGAUCGUGGAGUAGAAGCUUGUUGUCACUGCUUUAGCCUCCAUUGAUUCAGGGUUUAUAACCCCAAGAUCUGCCAACAGCCAGGUGCAACAGCAAAUGACAUCCUCAGUCUCUGGCCUGGAGUCUCCCAGAUUUUAUGCUACUACUCCUUCUGCUUCCUUUCCAUGAACUAACUGGUAGGCUCUGACAGAUGUUUUGUUUUCUCUCUCUUCUAUAGUCUACCCCCUUUUCUCUAUCCUUGCAGGAGAAUGUAGAAGAGUCUCCUCCUUCCCCUAGGAGAUCUUGAAUGGACAGAAGAGUGUCCUCCCUGUCUUUGUCUAGGGAUGAAAGCGUAAACAAAGGAAUAACUUCAGAUUCAAAAUAACAGUGUCGGAAGGAACCACAUAGUCCAUUGGAAUGUGUCCUUACUUUGGGGGUUUCUAGGUACAGGUAAGAGUUAGUGUUUGCACAGUGAACCUAGCUAAAUGGAGGGGAUUGCUUAUACCUGAGGUGCCAAGCUUGGCAUUCCAGCUACCCUGCUUGGCCAUCCUGAAUGCUGAGAGGAUCUUCAAGAGAUCUGUGAUCUUCAAUGCCAACCCUACAUAUCACCUAGCUGAAGGUGAGGGAAAAGAGAAGACAGAGGGUCAUCAAGAAGGAUUAUGACCCAGGCCUGAUUGCCAAUUGCUUGAACUUGGUCCACAUUCUAUUGGUUGGAACUUGUCAGAAGGACUCACCUGACUGUAAGGAAGGCUGGGAACUAGGUUUGGCUGUUAUCCAUGAAGAAACGAUACUGAUUUGGUGAAUAGCCUGUCAGUCUCUACCAUAGAGACUAUAUAACCAAUGGUGCUUUAGAGAUAGUGGCAGAGUUAAAACACAUUUCUUAAUCCAAACCACAGGGCUCUCCUCACCAAACCACACUCUGCCAUCUCUCUUAUAGGUCCCCUACCUUAGGAAGAAAAAAACCCACAGUCCACAAAAGUGGCAAAAGGAGAGCCAAGAAGAAAUUUCUUGAUCCAUUUUCUAAGGAAAAUUGGUAAAAAUGCUUUGUAACCAAACAAAGUUUGUUUUGCCUGACCAUCAGGGGCCAAAAUGCUGAGACACCAAGCCCUGCAGCAAAGAGAGGGCUUAUUGACAAGGC
ensembl:lncRNA